rnacentral:rRNA from 1 species
GACGAACGCUGGCGGCGUGCCUAAUACAUGCAAGUUGAGCGCUGAAGGUUGGUACCUGUACCAACUGGAUGAGCAGCGAACGGGUGAGUAACGCGUGGGGAAUCUGCCUUUGAGCGGGGGACAACAUUUGGAAACGAAUGCUAAUACCGCAUAAAAACUUUAAACACAAGUUUUAAGUUUGAAAGAUGCAAUUGCAUCACUCAAAGAUGAUCCCGCGUUGUAUUAGCUAGUUGGUGAGGUAAAGGCUCACCAAGGCGAUGAUACGUAGCCGACCUGAGAGGGUGAUCGGCCACAUUGGGACUGAGACACGGCCCAAACUCCUACGGGAGGCAGCAGUAGGGAAUCUUCGGCAAUGGACGAAAGUCUGACCGAGCAACGCCGCGUGAGUGAAGAAGGUUUUCGGAUCGUAAAACUCUGUUGGUAGAGAAGAACGUUGGUGAGAGUGGAAAGCUCAUCAAGUGACGGUAACUACCCAGAAAGGGACGGCUAACUACGUG